rnacentral:snoRNA from 1 species
CACCAAGUUGCCCAGGUUGGGCAUAGUGCCCUUCUUAGGAAAGUAGCAACUUGGAAUAAAUUCUGACAUGCCUAAGGUCUUUGGGGAGUAGGGGGUGCUUACUUCCUUUGCCUUCCUUUGGCUGCCUACAUGC